AGGACGAACGCUGGCGGCGUGCCUAACACAUGCAAGUGGAGCGACGACCCGGGCUUCGGCCCGGUGCAAAGCCGCGAACGGGUGAGUAACACGUGGGUAACCUGCCCUUAGCUCUGGGAUAGCUCCGGGAAACCGGAAUUAAUACCGGAUAUGACCUAGGCCGACAUCGGCCGUGGUGGAAAGUUUUUCGGCUAGGGAUGGACUCGCGGCCUAUCAGCUAGUUGGUGGGGUAAUGGCCUACCAAGGCGACGACGGGUA
rnacentral:rRNA from 1 species